GUGGUCAUAACUUAUAAUGUCUAGUUUCGUGAAAACAGUAUGUCAUUACUUAAUCAAAUGAGUUGUUUGCACUAUUCACCUGAAACACACAACGUUACUAAUGAUGUUAAGCAGAGCUGACUUAGAAUGUUGCUUUUCUGUAAGAAAGGGGAGGGGCCUAUUUGAAUUUCUGCUCGGUGGCAUGUUGGGACAUGCCUGCAGGGCCCGGUGUGAGGAGUCUGGCUGCUGCUGCUUCACGAGUGAUAUUCGACGGUGUCAAAGCCUAAACCAAGUGGAACGGAGGCACACAUGUGUGAAACUGCCCAACUGACCUUUCGACUCUGAACCUGCCAUAAGCACGAUAAUGGAACGCUGGCCUGCUCUAUUCACAGAAGACCAGAUCUACAUGAAGUACAGUAGGAUUGUGGGCAAGAACCUCAAAAAAGAAUUCUUUGAGGGCAUCGAUCGGCACAGUCCUUGUCUCGUUGAAAUAUUUUGAUGUAAGAGAGGGAUCAUUGGGCAGCAGUUGACUCAGCUAUCACAAGAGACCAAGACUACAGAUCCAACAGAUAUUCGUACAAUGAUGCUCAGAGGCCU